rnacentral:rRNA from 1 species
CACUCUAUGCGGUGGAUCAUUCGGCUCGUGGGUCGAUGAAGAACGCAGCAAAAUGCGAGACGUGACGUGAAUUGCAGGACUUUGCGAACGUUAAUUCUUCGAACGCACAUUGCAGCUUCAGGUCAAACUGAAGCUACGCCUGGUUGAGGGUCA